AUCACUUCUGCCACAUUCUAUUCAUGUGAAGCCAGUCACUUAGUUCAGCCCACAUUCAAGGGGAGGGGAAUUAGAUCCAUCUUUUGAAAGAAGUGAUAAAGAGCUUGAAAACAUAUUUUAGAACCACCACCACAACUUAAGUAGCACAAGAGGCAAAGUGCAGGGUCAAAGCUAAGUGUCUGAAGAAGCAAAGUUUCAGUUCAAAUUACUAGCUGUGUGAGCUUGGGGAAAUCACUCUCUGAGACUCGGUUUCCCCAGCUAUACCACGAGCAGGUUGCAGCUGUUGGUCCCCGGUGAUUUUUACACGCUUGGCAUCUUCCUGCCUAUGUGAACAUAAGAAGAUCCCCUCUUAACCAGCUUUCUUAAAGUCCUGUGACUUCCCAUCACUGAUCACCCCUGAUUUCUGACCCUGGAGGCAGCAACAGGCUGCUACUGAAGCUCCAGGGACCUAGGAAGUUCAGACACCUAGGACUUUAAGGAACAGACAAGAAACCACUGAGGACCUGGGGAUUCUCCAAGGCUUCUCUGACCCAGCCCAGGUGUGGAAACUUCAGCUUGUCAGACAAAGGGAAGUUGAGAAACGCAGCAAUCACAGAUCUAAGGAAUCUGAGUCUGCCGGCCAGGGCCCAGGAAUCUGCAUCUACUCCACCAGGCUGUUAUUCCCACUAACUCCCGGUGGCAGAGUGGGAGGAGUCUUAAAGCACACAGGCUGUGUCUCGUUUUAGUGGUUCUUCGCUUCUGCUCCCCCUGUUCGCAGCUUUCCCGCGUUUCUGCUCUGUGGAGGGAGAGGAGGAUAACCUCCUUUAAGGAGUUCCUGUGCCAGGAGGACUCUGCGCUUACCCAGUGAGACAACCUAGGCUGAUGGAUGGGGGAAACUGAGGCUCACAAAGGGAAGUGAUCUGUUAGAUGUCCCACAGGAAAACAGACGCUGAAUCCGGUCUAGAAUCCCGGUCUUCCAGGUCAGUGCUCUCACUUCUACACCAGGACCCCUGCUAGGUACUCCCCUUAGGAAAUUCCCGACCGCGGGCCUUCCGAGACCGGAAUCUCCGUGGAGUUUGCGCUCUGGGUGGCACGUCGUAAACUUCCUCCGCAGCUCCGCACCGGCUGCGGGGCGCGCUGAGAGAGGGGUAAGCGGGGAGCGAAAGCCCACUCGCAUCCUAGAGAUAACUUGGGGCGGAGGGAUGGCCUCGGGAGGCGGAC
rnacentral:lncRNA from 1 species